AGAGUUUGAUCCUGGCUCAGGAUGAACUCCUUUUGUGUGCCUAAUACAUGCAAGUCGUACGCACUGGCCCAACUGAUUGAUGGUGCUUGCACCUGAUUGACGUUGGAUCACCAGUGAGUGGCGGACGGGUGAGUAACACGUAGGUAACCUGCCCCGGAGCGGGGGAUAACAUUUGGAAACAGAUGCUAAUACCGCAUAACAACAAAAGCCACAUGGCUUUUGUUUGAAAGAUGGCUUUGGCUAUCACUCUGGGAUGGACCUGCGGUGCAUUAGCUAGUUGGUAAGGUAACGGCUUACCAAGGCGAUGAUGCAUAGCCGAGUUGAGAGACUGAUCGGCCACAAUGGAACUGAGACACGGUCCAUACUCCUACGGGAGGCAGCAGUAGGGAAUCUUCCACAAUGGGCGCAAGCCUGAUGGAGCAACACCGCGUGAGUGAAGAAGGGUUUCGGCUCGUAAAGCUCUGUUGUUGGAGAAGAACGUGCGUGAGAGUAACUGUUCACGCAGUGACGGUAUCCAACCAGAAAGUCACGGCUAACUACGUGCCAGCAGCCGCGGUAAUACGUAGGUGGCAAGCGUUAUCCGGAUUUAUUGGGCGUAAAGCGAGCGCAGGCGGUUGCUUAGGUCUGAUGUGAAAGCCUUCGGCUUAACCGAAGAAGUGCAUCGGAAACCGGGCGACUUGAGUGCAGAAGAGGACAGUGGAACUCCAUGUGCAGCGGUGGAAUGCGUAGAUAUAUGGAAGAACACCAGUGGCGAAGGCGGCUGUCUGGUCUGCAACUGACGCUGAGGCUCGAAAGCAUGGGUAGCGAACAGGAUUAGAUACCCUGGUAGUCCAUGCCGUAAACGAUGAGUGCUAGGUGUUGGAGGGUUUCCGCCCUUCAGUGCCGGAGCUAACGCAUUAAGCACUCCGCCUGGGGAGUACGACCGCAAGGUUGAAACUCAAAGGAAUUGACGGGGGCCCGCACAAGCGGUGGAGCAUGUGGUUUAAUUCGAAGCUACGCGAAGAACCUUACCAGGUCUUGACAUCUUGCGCUAACCUUAGAGAUAAGGCGUUCCCUUCGGGGACGCAAUGACAGGUGGUGCAUGGUCGUCGUCAGCUCGUGUCGUGAGAUGUUGGGUUAAGUCCCGCAACGAGCGCAACCCUUGUUACUAGUUGCCAGCAUUAAGUUGGGCACUCUAGUGAGACUGCCGGUGACAAACCGGAGGAAGGUGGGGACGACGUCAGAUCAUCAUGCCCCUUAUGACCUGGGCUACACACGUGCUACAAUGGACGGUACAACGAGUCGCAAGCUCGCGAGAGUAAGCUAAUCUCUUAAAGCCGUUCUCAGUUCGGACUGUAGGCUGCAACUCGCCUACACGAAGUCGGAAUCGCUAGUAAUCGCGGAUCAGCAUGCCGCGGUGAAUACGUUCCCGGGCCUUGCACACACCGCCCGUCA
rnacentral:rRNA from 1 species